GUUUGAUCAUGGCUCAGGACGAACGCUUGCGGCGUGCCUAAGAAAUGCAAGUCGAGCGAGGCUUCACGCUGACCAAAGCUUCGGCAGAGGUCUUGUGAAACCUAGCGGCGAACGGUCGCGUAACACGUAAGCAACCUGCCCUGAAGUGUGGGAUAGCCCUCCGAAAGGAGGAGUAAUACCGCAUGUGGAUACGAUGUCGCAUGGCAAUGUAUCUAAAGCAGCAAUGCGCUUCAGGAUGGGCUUGCGGCCUAUCAGCUAGUUGGUGGGGUAACGGCCUACCAAGGCGACGACGGGUAGCUGGUCUGAGAGGAUGGUCAGCCGGAUUGGGACUGAGACACGGCCCAGACUCCUACGGGGGGCAGCAAUUAGGAAUCUUGCGCAAUGGGGGAAACCCUGACGCAGCGACGCCGCGUGAGCGAUGAAGUCUUUCGGGAUGUAAAGCUCUGUCCUGCGGGGAAGAAGGAUGUGACGGUACCCGCAGAGAAAGCCCCGGCUAACUACGUGCCAGCAGCCGCGGUAAUACGUAGGGGGCGAGCGUUGUCCGAAUUUACUGGGCGUAAAGCGCGUGUAGGCGGUUCUUUAAGUCAGAUGUGAAAUCCCGUGGCUCAACCACGGAACUGCAUUUGAAACUGAAGGGCUUGAGUUUGGGAGAGGAAAGUGGAAUUCCUGGUGUAGCGGUGAAAUGCGUAGAUAUCAGGAGGAACACCCGUGGCGAAGGCGGCUUUCUGGCCCAACACUGACGCUGAGACGCGAAAGCUAGGGGAGCGAACGGGAUUAGAUACCCCGGUAGUCCUAGCCGUAAACGAUGGAUACUAGGUGUUAGAGGUAUCGACCCCUCUAGUGCCGUAGCUAACGCAUUAAGUAUCCCGCCUGGGGAGUA
rnacentral:rRNA from 1 species